AUCGACCGGACUUGAAGAGCCGCGGGGAGCAGAGGUGGCGAGGCAAUGUUAGGGUUUCGCAGCGAGAGAGGAAGGAGAAGAGCGACGGCGAAUUUGGUGGCCGACGAGCAGCGGCGAUGUGCGAUGUUCAGGAAAAUCGGUCUGCUUGGUCUGAUGGUCCUGGUUCAGUUGGAAGAAAAUGCAGGGGCAGAAAUAUUGUGUUUGAUUGCUGAUGCCUGCAGGCGGUAUGGAGAGGAGUGAGACAGGGCAAGAUGGCAAAAUUGCAAAGAAAUGUAGUUUAAUUUCCAAAUCUGUAUUGUAAAUGUGAACAAUUUUAUUCAUUUAUAUUAGUCAUGAUUCAAUUGGUUUUAGUUAAGAAUAAUUUCAUCUUAGUUACAUUUUUGUUAUAUUUAGUUAAGAAUAUUUCCGUUUUAUUUAAAAAUAAUUUCAUUUUAGCUAUAAUUAAAUUCA